UGGAGUUAAACAACAAUGUAAACCUAAAAGCUACUCUCACUCAAACCAUGUCAAGAAAAAAAAUGAGUUAGUUCUAACCUCCUCCCCAGGCUCAUUACUAGAGAGAGCCGACAGGUGGACUAAGUAGGUCGAAAUACAAAAAUAAUCUUACAUGUAAUUUAAUUAGACCACAGCACCAGGUAGAAAGCUCCUGGGUUUCCCUGUCCACCAUUUUGUUUAGUUCCCCAUUAACUCAGCUAAUGCUACCUGACACACAAACAGUGCAUCUACUGUUCUGUAUUCAUGUCCUCUAACUGAGAGUAAGGGAAACAGAUUAAAUGUGUGUCCUCUACUCGUCUAAAUGUAUGUAAAACCUGUCCCCGCCAGCAGACUGUUGUUCUGAUGCGUGACUGGAGUAUUUAUAGAGGCAGAGGCUGGAAUCCACGCAUUCACUCCUAUGGAGCAGAGGGGACCACUCUCUCUUCAUCUCUCUCUCUGCUUCUCUCUUCUUCGCUCUCUCUAUCACAGGGGAAUUCUCUCUCAGCAGGCUAGCAACACUGUCAAAGGGCUGCCCAGAUUCACAAACACAUCACACACACACACACACACACACAAACGCAACCAUGCACACGCACACACACACACACUGAGGGACACAUCUAGAGACGUACAGAAAAUCCAUCACACAGCUGUUCAUUGUAGGGUGUGGGUGGACAUGCACAGGACAGACUGGGGAUAUACAGUUGAAGUCGGAAGUUUACAUACACCUUAGCCAAAUACAUUUAAACUCAGUUUUUCACAAUUCCUGACAUUUAAUCCUAGUAAAAAUUCUCUCUUAGGUCAGUUAGAAUCACCACCUUAUUUUAAGAAUGUGAAAUGUCAGAAUAAUAGUAGAGUCAUUUAUUUCAGCUUUUAUUUCUUUCAUCAUAUUCCCAGUGGGUCAGAAAUUUACAUGCACUCAAUUAGUAUUUGGUAGCAUUGCCUUUAAAUUGUUUAACUUGGGUCAAACGUUUUGGGUAGCCUUCCACAAGCUUCCCACAAUAAGUUGGGUGAAUUUUGGCACAUAAUUUUCCAUCCACAUAAUUUUCCUGCCUCUCAAUGCCAUCUAUUUUGUGAAGUGCACCAGCCCCUCCUGCAGCAAAGCACCCCCACAACAUGAUGCUGCCACCCCCGUGCUUCACGUUUGGGAUGGUGUUCUUCGGCUUGCAAGCCUCCCUCUUUUUCCUCCAAACAUAACGAUGGUCAUUAUGGCCAAACAGUUCUAUUUUUGUUUUAUCAGAGCAGAGGACAUUUCUCCAAAAAGUACUAUCUUUGUCCCCAUGUGCAGUUGCAAACCGUAGUCUGGCUUUUUUAUGGCGGUUUUGGAGCAGUGGCUUCUUCCUUGCUGAGCGGCCUUUCAGGUUGUGUCGAUAUAGGACUGGUUUUACUGUGGAUAUAGGUACUUUGUACCCUUUGUGCCAUGGUUCGUUGGGCAAGGCCUAGGGGUAAAUGAAUGAAGAUUUUGGAUAUACGCAAUGAAAUAAGGUUGGUGGUAAACACAGGCUUAGGAGAUCUUGUUCUAUGAGAUAAUCUUCAUCAGCUAACAUCACUUUGUUGUGAAUUCUGAAGCAUUUAUGUCAUCAAAAAAAGCACACAAUGCACGUGAAAGGCUUCAUAUUUCAUAAAGGUCAUGUUAACUGCCUGAUAUUAUCUCAUCGAACAAAACGUAUAAGAUCUCCUAAGCCUGUGUUAACCUCAGACCUUCGGUGUUUAUCCCAAAACCCCGUUCUUUCCCAUUCAUUUUCCCCAUAGAAACGAACCAGAGGUAUCUCUUUUCCGUUUUUUUUAGGACGACAAGCUGCCGUGCUCUAUUCAGGCUUGUCUUUCUGCUACAUGAGCACUAUCUCCAUCUGUCCCUGGGCUGUCCCACUAAUGAAUGACAGACUGCACUACAUAAUACGGUAGCUAGCUUCCUGUCUGUUUAUGUUUGUGUUGCAUAUGCAUGUACUGUGUGACUGUUCAUUUGUACUAUAUUCCGCUGCUCUGCAUGGCCCUCUCUGUCAGAGCCAGUAGCUGCUGUGCUCACAGAGUGACAGAUGGUCCAGCUACCUGACCCAGUGGAGGCUGCUGAGGGGAGAACAGCUCAUAAUAAUGGCAUCCUACACCUGGAAACCAUGUGUUUGCUGUAUUUGAUACCAUUCUACUGAUUCUGCUCCAGUCAUUUCAACGAGCCCGUCCUCCCAAAUUAAGACGCCGAGGACAGGGAGGCCGCGAGAGAGCUGUUGGGAGACACGCUCUACGGACACACGCUGAAGAAGCAGGCCGGAUGACCUUAACACGACCCUCACCUCUCCACUCCUCCAACCCCCCACCUUUCUCUUUCUCCUCAUUUAUGUAAAUACUCUGAAUAAAGGCUGAAGCACACACUGA